GGCAGUGUGGCUCAGUGGAAAGAGCCCGGGUUUGGGAAUCAGAGGGCAUGGGUUCUAAUCCCAUCUCUGCUA
rnacentral:tRNA from 1 species